UAGGGAAUAUUGCGCAAUGGGGGAAACCCUGACGCAGCAACGCCGCGUGAGUGAUGAAGGCUCUAGGGUCGUAAAGCUCUGUCGUAAAGGAAUAAUUUUGAAGGUACUUUACAAGAAAGGACCGGCUAACUCCGUGCCAGCAGCCGCGGUAAUACGGGGGGUCCAAGCGUUGUUCGGAAUCAUUGGGCGUAAAGCGGGUGUAGGCGGACCGACAAGUCAGAAGUGAAAGCCCUGGGCUCAACCCAGGAAGUGCUUUUGAAACUGUCGGUCUUGAGUGCAGUAGAGGAGAGUGGAAUUCCAGGUGUAGUGGUGAAAUACGUAGAUAUCUGGAGGAACAUCAGUGGCGAAGGCGGCUCUCUGGACUGUUACUGACGCUCAGACCCGAAAGCGUGGGGAGCAAACAGGAUUAGAUACCCCCGUAGUCC
rnacentral:rRNA from 1 species